AGGGUGUAGGGCGGAUGCCUUGGCACUAGGAGCCGAUGAAAGACGUGAUAAGCUGCGAUAAGCUUCGGGGAGUGGCACAUACACUUUGAUCCGGAGAUUUCUGAAUGAGGAAACUCACUUGGAGUAAUGUCCAAGUAUCCAUAGGUGAAUACAUAGCCUAUGGAGGGGAACUCAGGGAACUGAAACAUCUAAGUACCUGAAGGAAGAGAAAGAAAUUCGAUUCCGCUAGUAGCGGCGAGCGAACGCGGAAGAGCCCAAACCAAGUCAGUUUACUGAUUUGGGGUUGCGGACAUAUCUUAAGGAAAGGUUAUUGCGAGUAGAAUAGGUCUGGAAAGAUCAACCAUAGAGGGUAAAAGUCCCGUAUACAAAGCCAAGAAAGUUCUUGAUAUGAUCCAGAGUACCACGAGACACGUGAAACCUUGUGGGAAGCAGGGGGGACCACCCCCCAAGGCUAAAUACUACCUAGUGACCGAUAGCGAAUAGUACCGUGAGGGAAAGGUGAAAAGAACCCCGGGAGGGGAGUGAAAUAGAACCUGAAACCCUACACUUACAAGCUGUGGGAGCGCAUUAUUCGCGUGACCGCGUACUUUUUGUAGAACGGGCCAACGAGUUACGUUAUGUGGCAAGGUUAAGCACUUAAGGUGUGGAGCCGAAGCGAAAGCGAGUCUUAACUGGGCGCCAUAGUCACAUGACGUAGACCCGAAACCGGGCGACCUACCCAUGAGCAGGAUGAAGCGAAAGUAAAAUUUCGUGGAGGUCCGAACCCACGUACGUUGAAAAGUGCGGGGAUGACUUGUGGGUAGCGGUGAAAUUCCAAUCGAGCUCGGAGAUAGCUGGUUCUCCCCGAAAUAGCUUUAGGGCUAGCCUUGAAAUUUAGAGAUGUGGAGGUAGAGCACUGAAUGUCCUAGGGGGUAUUGCACUUACCGAAGACUAUCAAACUCCGAAUGCCAUUAUCUUUUGUUCAGGAGUCAGACUAUGGGUGAUAAGGUUCAUAGUCGAAAGGGAAAGAGCCCAGACCGUCAGCUAAGGUCCCUAAAUGUAUGUUAAGUGGUAAAGGAUGUGGGAUUGCACAGACAACCAGGAUGUUGGCUUAGAAGCAGCCACUCAUUUAAAGAGUGCGUAAUAGCUCACUGGUCGAGUGAUCCUGCGCCGAAGAUUUCCGGGGCUAAAACAUACUACCGAAGCUACGGCAUCAUAUGAUGAUGGGUAGGGGAGCUUCCCAUGCAGGCUGAAGCGAUACCGUAAGGAGUCGUGGACAGUAUGGGAGAGAGAAUGUUGGCAUGAGUAGCGAGAUGAGGGUGAGAAUCCCUCAGGCCGUAAACCCAAGGUUUCCAGGGGAAGGUUCGUCCUCCCUGGGUUAGUCGGGACCUAAGCUCAGGCCGAAAGGCGUAGGCGAUGGACAACAGGUUGAGAUUCCUGUACUACCGAUAAUCGUUUGAGAGAAGGGAUGACACAGUAGGAUAAGCUGAGCACACUGUUGGUUAAGUGUGUCUAAGCGUUGAGGCAGACUAGAUAGGCAAAUCCGUUUAGUUAAUGCUGGGGCGCGAUGGGGAGCGAAACUAAGUAGCGAAGCAGCUGAUUUCACACUGUCGAGAAAAGUCUCUAUCGAGAUUAAAGGUACCCGUACCGCAAACCGACACAGGUGGGUGAGGAGAGUAUCCUAAGGCCAGCGAGAGAACUGUUGUUAAGGAACUCGGCAAAAUGACCCCGUAACUUAGGGAUAAGGGGUGCCCCAGCAAUGGGGCCGCAGAGAAUUGGCCCAAGCGACUGUUUACCAAAAACAUAGGUUUCUGCUAAGUCGCAAGACGAUGUAUAGGAGCUGACGCCUGCCCGGUGCUGGAAGGUUAAGGGGAUCUGUUAGAGCAAUCGAAGCAGUGAUCUUAAGCCCCAGUAAACGGCGGCCGUAACUAUAACGGUCCUAAGGUAGCGAAAUUCCUUGUCGGGUAAGUUCCGACCCGCACGAAAGGCGUAACGAUUUGGGCACUGUCUCAACAACAGACUCGGUGAAAUUGUAAUCCCGGUGAAGAUGCCGGGUACCUGCGACAGGACGGAAAGACCCCAUGGAGCUUUACUGUAGCUUGACAUUGGGUUUCGAUACUACAUGUACAGGAUAGGUGGGAGACUAUGAAAUCAGGGCGUCAGUUUUGAUGGAGUCAUCCUUGGGAUACCACCCUUGUAGUAUUGGGACUCUAACCAUAGGCCAUGAAUCUGGUCUUGGGACACUGUCUGGUGGGCAGUUUGACUGGGGCGGUCGCCUCCCAAAAGGUAACGGAGGCGCUCAAA
rnacentral:rRNA from 1 species